rnacentral:lncRNA from 1 species
AAAAAUAUAGAUACUUUUUCUUUGUAUCGAUAAUUUGUUUGGUUCUAAAAUUGGUGAAGAAAUAGUGUAACACCCUUAACCCAUAUCCGUCGCCGAAUUAGGGUUACGAGGCAUUACUGAACAAAUACAACCAUUUUUUUAAAAAAAAUAAACUGAUCACAAACAUAGAAAUUAAACCAUAUUCGCAUGGCUACUUAUAUUAUACAAGCCAAAUCUAACCAAAAUCAUACUCAAACCUAUACAUGCCAUAAGAUCAAGUUCAAACUGUUAACAAAAUACCAAAAGAAGUCGAUAGUGUGAUAGACUAUGCUGAUGAUCCCUGAGCUUGUAACGCGUCUCCAAAAUCUAUAAAACAAAUAAACAAAAAAAACAAUCAAAGUAAGCUUCUAUAGCUCAGUAAGUUUAUAGCAUAUCCAAAAUACAUAUAAACGAUCAUAUGUAUUAUCAUUAUAUACCUAAAAAUUAAGUUAUAUACAUACUCAUUAAUCGCAUAUAUAAAUUCCAAAUAUAUUUAUCAUUGCAUUUCAUUGAAUGCAUGUUUAUGAUCUUUCAUAUACAUAUGUCAAAAGCAAAUAAUUAUACUUAUCAACCACAUGUGCCGAAUGCACAUACAUAUAUAUAUACUUUAGUUCACAUAUGCCGAACGCAUAGAUAUAUAUACUCACCAGUCACCAAGAUUCGAGCUUUUAUAUGCUUAUCAAAAACAUAGCAACAGAUGUUCAUAUAUUAAUCCAAUACAAAUAACCAAAUCAUAUACAUAUAUACCCAAUGUAUACAAUCACUUAAUUAAAACAGAUUCAACGGCACUUAGCCUGCUAGACUUAUAGCUUAAUUCAGAUCACCGGCACGUAGCCUGCUAGGUUUAUAACCUGAUUCAGAUCACCAGCACGUAGCCUGCUAGGUUUAUAACCUGAUUCAUAUCACCGGCAAUUAGCCUGCUAGACUUAAAGUCUGAAAAAUUCACCGGCAUUAAGCCUGCUAGGCGCUUAGCCUGAAAAUCUCAAUUUCACAGAUACAAAGAUGAUUUCUCGUAUAUUUCUUAAUAGCAACACACGUUCAUAACACUUAUAUAUUUCACAAUCUCAACUCUAUUCCAAGAAAAUUUGUAGUCCAUGUUCGAAUCAUACAAGCAUUAAAAAUUUAUACUUUUAAUUCAAUGCAAAUCUUAAACAUAUAUAUAUACAUUCGACCAUGUAUAUCAAUAUAUAAUUCCAUACCUAAUUUCAAUACAAGAAAUUGUACCUGUACAUAUAUAUAUAUACAUAACUAUAUAUUCGAACCUCACAUAUAUGCAUAUAUAUAACAUUCAUACUCAACUAAUUUUCAAUACAUAUACUUUUAAAUUUUAGCUCAUCAAUUAUACAAUAGAUGUACAUUUAUAUACAUAUAUGCACAUAUUCGAACUUCAUUUAUGCAUAUAUAUAUAUAUAACACUCAUACUUAAAAUCCAUUACAAGAACAUACACAUAUAUGUAAGCAUGCUUAUUCAAAUAUAGCAUAUACAUAUGAAUUACAAUUCACAUAUACAUAUCUAUUCGAAACUUCUCAUACAAUCAUGGUUUACAUAACUUUAAAUAAAUCCAAGAGUUUAUACAUGUAUAUACCUAUAUAUAUAUUCGCACCAUAUAUAUAUUAUACAUUCCUUUGAUUAAAAUCAAGAAUUUAUACCUAUGCAACAUUCAUACUUUAACUAAUUUCAAUAACUUUUAUAUGUAUAUGUAUAUAUAUUCUAGCAUUAUAUAUAUACAUAUAUAUAUACAUGCUUAUUCGAAUAUCAACUAUACUCUUAUACAUUUCUUACCUUUAUUUCAACCCAUAAGUCUAUACAAGAUUAUACUUGUAUAUUCGAACAUGCUAUAUAUGUAAAUAUCAUCCAUACUUCAAAAUUUAUUCAAUCAAUAUAUUUUUAAUUAUAGCUCAACACAAAAUACAAUUAGUAUACAUGUAUAAAUAUUAACUUAAUAGCUUUUAAUUGCUAAUAGACUUACCUCGGACGAAGGAAAAUCGAAGUCGGACGAUUAUUCGACUAAUUUGGCUUUUCCCCAAUCUAACUCCAAUUUCUUUGGUUCUCGAUCUAAAUAUAUUCAAAAUAAGAUAAUUUAUUUAUUAACACAUUCAAUUUAUUCCAACAACACAUAAUUUGGAAAAUUACUAUUUUGCCCCUAAUAUUUAUACUUUUUGCAAUUUACUCCUUAUUGCAUAAAACACAAUUUACACAAAAUUUUCCCAUACCACACAAAGGCCGAAUAUUCAUGGUUCUCAUAUAAGUCCACACAUUGCAUUUAUUUCACAUUUUAGUCCCCCAAAAAUUUAAUUUCACAAAUUAGCCCUAUUUACUCAAUUUCACUAAAAUUCCAAUACAAAACAUAUUAAUCUAUCACAUAUCUUUCAUUUUUCAUCAUCAACUAUCACAAAGUCCAAGCAUUCAUCAAUGGCACAUUUCAAAAUCAUCAACAAUUCACAAAAUUAAAACAUGGGUUUUGAAGAACACAAAGCAACGAUCUCAAAAACAUAAAAAUUAUCAAAAUCGAACAAAUAACUAACCUUAAAUCAAGCUCAUCAAUGGCCGAACCUAGCUAAGUUUUCUUCUUUUUCUUUUAUUUACAUUCGGCUAAGAAGAAGAUGAUAAUGGC